CACGUCAGCGGCUUUACUGACAUGGCAACAAAUCGCGUCCUCUGAAGCGCGAUUUGUGUCCACGUCAGCAAAGCGCGCUGACGUGG
rfam:Gossypium hirsutum cultivar TM-1 chromosome 25, whole genome shotgun sequence